ensembl:antisense Lrrc55os predicted gene 13713
GGAUUGAUGGCUUCUGCUGUGGUCUCCUGGGGAAGGCUGCGGUGGCCUUCCAGCCUGCAGCAUUUGUAACUCUGCUGUCACCAAGUGUUAUAGAGGAGGAGAAUACAAAAGAAGCAUCCUAGACUUUCCAGUGCCCAAGGAGACAGGGAAGAUCAUGAUGAAGCAGGUGACAUGGAUGAGGAAAAUGAAGAUGACGACAAAGACGCCUUGCUCCAGCGGUGACAGCAGUUGGCCGUGAUGCCCAGGAGGAAGUUGGUGGCUACGGAAGCGAUGGAGACCACAAAGCCCACAAAUGCGAUGAAGAGCUAUACCGACUACACUGUCAACAGUGCAGCCUCUGGAGCAGCCGUAUCACCUGAGUGGGAAUCUCUCUUGUCGCUCAUCAGUUGUGUGACUGUGGAUAUUUAGUCUCUCUAUAUUUUGCUUUUUGUUUCUUGUUUUCAUCUGUCAAGUGGCAGUAAUCCGAUCUGCCUUCUGGUACUGUGAUCAGGAUUCAGAGAGUUAAAGCACGCAAUCAUUUCCGAUGUGUAAUAAGCAUUAGGUGACAUGCGUGCCUUUUAUAAUGAUCAUAGUUGGGUCUCUCCAGUGUCGACUGGAGGGUCAUAUUCUGUACACAGACAUUUGAGGUAAGAAGCUGCUCCUUUAGUGGCCUGGCUUUCCUAGCAUUGUGGAACUGUCCUUUAUGAUUACUUCAGUAAAUGCAUGAUGGUUA